CACUGAACUAAAAACAAUAGUCUAACUAGGCCAGGACAAGGUCCCUGGCUGGACCAUAACAACCAUAAAAAAAGACACAUGGGAUAGAUGCCUUCCGAUAUAAAGGAGUCUCACCAAUCUCUGAAAGGCUGGAUCACAAUCUACAUGUUUGUAGGAUCACGGGACUGGGCCUCAAAACCUGAAAUAUAGGGGUCAAUACUCGAAAGUAUAGGUAUGUAGAACAAUCGAAAAGAUAACAUAUAUUUUUAUACAACAUAAGUGAGCAUUUCAUAAAGAAAUUUAGAAUAAGAUAAAUUAAAACACAUGUCAUAAUUUGGUUAACCUCAAAACACUUUCUUAAAAUAAUCUCUCGACCCUUUAUUUUACUUCUGAACUAGAUGGUACACCCUACAUUUCUACAAUCCCAUGAGCUAUAUGGAUUCCACCCUUGACUCAGUUGACUCAGUGGCCAAGCCCCCAAAUCCAAGUUUACCGCAAGGAUUAAGGUCCUAAAUAUUAUUCUAGUAUACUAGUGCCUCAGGGGCAAGUAUAUAUUGCCCAUAGCUAAUCAUGUCGCCCUUACACUCAAUGUCUUCUUUGGAUAACCAUCUAACUCUCUUUAAGCCUAUUUUUAGUCCAUUAAAAUCAUGCUUCAUGCUAAAAAACAUUUAGUGCUUAUUCCGUUAAGGGCAUAUCAUCACAAAGUAUCGUCCUACCCAAACUUGCAAGUCAUUCAUAUGUUAUCAUCUCAUAUCCAUAGCCCUUCUUAUUCAAAAUCACACUAAUGACCAUCAAAAAAGAUUUAUCAAAUUACAUGAGAGUUCUUAUUUCAAAAGGAGAUGAAAACUUAAGCAAAAUAAUCUCCUUUCAAGACUUUAAUAUAGGGUGGUCAUCUCUUUCAUCAAUCACAUGCAAAUUCUUUAUUAGGAGACAUGAGAAUUUUUAUAUCAAGGAAAACCCCUCUCAUUCAUUCAUAAAUCAAUAACAACCCAUAGUCGCUAGCAAAAUAUUUAAACUCAAACUUUUAACCAUCCAUGUAAACAAUCUACAACAUUAUUAAAACAAUGGGUUUCAUAACAAGAGAGGGAAUUACGUAAAUCAUGCUCUCAUAUAACUUCUCAAACUAAUAACACAUGCACGCAUGAAAACAAUUUAAGUUUAGGGAAAAACCCUCAUAGUUUAUACAAAAUUUUAUCAUAAAACGUGGUUUGAAAUGCAUGCUCUUUAAUAAUUUCAAAACCCAACUCAUGUACGAAAUUAUAUACCUUAAAAUCUUAUUUAACGAUAAAUUCAUGCCCAUGGAAUUUAUGAUAGUCCCACAUACCUUUGAAUUGAUUAAAAUGUUAAGAAAAUUGACCCUUGAAGCUUAAUUUCUAGAUGUUUUCUCUUCUUGAGCUUAAGGAAGAUGAAUUAGGGAUUUUCUAGAUGUUAAUAUGUGUUUAAGGACCUUAAUUUUCCCUAUAAGUGAUUUGGGAUGGUUAGGGGGUGUGAAAAUACCUUAAUGCCCCUAAAAUAACACCAAACAGAGCACUUACAUUGCUAUGCUUUUUCCAUGUGGCACACAACAAUUUCACAGGCCAAGUUGUGCGACGCAUGACCAUUGCACAACCCCAAGUAGGCGACGCAAGCCCAUUGCACACCCUUUCCACUGGCCUUUUGUGUUUGCCAUACGACACACGAAUUUUGCAAAGGGCCUAUUGUGAGAUGCAUACUCAUUUUUAGGCCCUUAAACACCCCCAACUCAACCCAUAAUAUCUAGACAUGGUCUACCAUCAAAAUGGGGGCCCUAAAGGUUAUUUUAAAUGCAUUAUUAGAGCAUUACAACUACGAGGUGUUACAUUAUCCCCCUGGGAUCAUUCGUCCCCGAAUGAUGACUCGAGAUACAAUAUGCAUGAUUUCAUAUAUUGCAUGGAAGGAAAGAAGUAGGUAUAAGAUCAAUACCUUCUAUGUCAUCAACCGCAGAUUCAAAGAGAGUUGGAAAUCUUGCGCGCAUGUCAUUCUCCGACUCCCAGUAGCUUUAUCAAAUUUAUGGUUCCUUCAUAAUACUUUAAUCAAAACUAUUUCCUUACUCAAAUUUCAAACCUGGAGAUCUAAAAUAGCUACAAGUUCUUCAUUAUAUGUUAGUGAAUCCUUCACACUAAUCUCCUCCAUAAGUAACACAAAUGAAUAAUCUCCAAUACAUUUCUUCAAUAUUGAUACAUGAAAUACAGGAUGAAUAGAAGCUAAACUUAUGGGCAAGUCUAAAUCAUAAGCAACCCCACCAAUACUUCUCAUAAUCUAAUAAGGUCCUAUAUAACGAGGACUAAGUCUUCUUUUCUAUUUGAAUCUCAUAACUCCCUUCAUAAGGGAAACCUUAAGAAAUACCCAAUAGUUAACCUUAAACUCUAAAUCCCUUCUUGUAAUAUCGACGUAAGACUUCUGGUGACUUUGAGCUGUCUUAAGUCGAUCUCUAAUGACUUUCACCUUUUCCAUCGCUUGAUGAACAAGGUCAGGCCCAAACAAAUAUGUUUCACCCACUUCAUACCACCCAAUCGGUGACCUACAUCUUUGCCCAUAUUGGGCCUCAAAAGGAUCCAUUUGGAUGCUGGAGUAGUAGCUAUUGUUGUAGAUGAAUUCAAUCAACGACAAGUGAUCCACCAAACUACCCAUAAAGUUUAUCGCGCAAGCCCUCAACAUAUCCUUCAAGGUCUAAAUGUUGCACUCUGAUUGCCCAUCCGUUUGAGGAUGGUAGGCGAUGCUAAGGUUUACUUGGGUACCUAAACCCCUCUUAAAAGGCCGCCAAAACUGAGAAGAGAAUUAUGUACCUCGAUUGGAUAUUAUAGAUAUUGAAGCCACAUGCAAAUGAACUAUUUAUUGAAUAUAUAGCUUAGCAUAAUCAUCUCCAGAAUAAUUAGUCUGCACUGAAAGAAAAUGGAAAGACUUAGUCAUCCUGUCUACAAUCACCCAAAUAAAGUCGUAUUGGUUUUGGGAUCUCGAAAGUCCUAUAAUAAAGUCCAUGUUAAUUAUCUCCUAUUUCCAUAAGGUCAAGGCUAUCUCUUGGUAAAUACCACCAGGUCUCAAAUGUUCCACCUUAACUUGUUGACAAUUCAAACGCUUAACAACAAAGUUAGCAACAUCUCUUUACAUGUUAUUCCACAAGUUAAUUUCCUUGAGAUCAUGAUACAUUUAAGUAGAUCUAGGUCAAACAACAUACCUAUAAGUGUGAGCUUCAUCAAGAGUCCUUUCUCGCAAUACAUCCACAUCCGGGAGAUAUAACCUACCUUGAUACCUCAAAAUCUAAUCACCUCCAAAGUCAAAUGUCAUUACCUUUUGUUGACCAACAUAUUCCUUAAUUUCUCUGAAAAUGGGAUCCCCAGUCUGCUUUUCCUGGGCUUCGACACAUAGGGAUGAUUUAGCUACCUCUUGUAUGACCACUCCUCCAUCCUUAGAAUCUAGGAGUUGAACUCCUAAAUUGGCAAGCCGGUGAAUAUCCUUCACCAUAUCCCUUUUCCCUUCCUCCACAUGAGAAAGACUGCCCAUGAAAAACUUGCUAAGGGCAUCAGCCACCACAUUGGCCUUACUCUGAUAAUAGUGUGGACUCAUGUCAUAAUCCUUCAACAAAUCCAACAACCGCCUCUGCCUGAGAUUCAGCUCUUUCUGCGUGAGAACAUAUUGCAAACUUUUAUGAUCAGUGAAGAUAUAUACAUGCACUCUAUAAAGAUAAUAAUGCAAAAUUUUUAGUGCAAAUACCACUGUCGCUGACUCUAAAUCAUGAGUUGAUAAUUUUUCUCAUGACCCUUCGACUAUCUAGGGGCAUAAGCCACUGCCUUCCCAUGUUGCAUAAGUAUACACCUAAGUACCACCCGAGAUGUAUCACAGUAAACCACGAAUCACUCUGUACCCUCAAGAAGGAUCAAAACUGGUGCAAUAGUUAACUUGUCUUUCAGUUCCUUAAAACUAUUCUCGCAAAAGUCAGACCACAAAAAUUUCACCUUUUUUGAGUCAAUCUAGUUAGUAGAGUAGCUAUGGAUGAAAAACUCUCCACAAAUAUCCUGUAAUACCCUUUCAAACCCAAGAAGCUCCAGAUGUCGGUUGGAGUUGUGGGUCUUGUCCAUUUUCUCACCACCUUAACCUUUUGGAGAUCAACCUUAAUUCCCUUUCUAGAAAUAAUAUGCCCCAGAAAAGCAAUAGCACUAAGCUAGAAUUCAUACUUUGAAAACUUCUACAACUCAUGGUCCAUAAGAUUCUGAAGGACUAUUCGAAGGUGAUUGACAUACCCCCCUCACUCUUGGAGUAAAUGAAGAUGUCAUCAAUUAAGACUGAUGAAUAGAUCUAGACAAUGACAAACACCCUAUUGUCCACAAAUGUUGCGGGGGCAUUAUUCAGCCCGGAGGACAUAACUAAGAAUUCAUAGUGACCAUAUUAAGUUUGGAAGGCUGUUUUGGGAAUAUCUAUCUCUCUAACCUUCAGCUGAUGAUACGCCGAUCGAAGAUCUAUCUUAGAAAAAUAUUUGGCACCUUGAAGUUGAUCAAAAAGAUCAUCAAUUCUGGGAAGAGGGUACUUAUUUUUAACUGUGACUUUGUUCAGCUGAGGGUAAUCUAUGUACAUACAGAGGAAACCAUCUUUCUUACGCAUAAAAAGUACUAGAGCACCCCAGAGAGAGACACUAGGAUAGAUAAAACCUUUAUCAAGAAGGUCUUUUAAUUGUUCUUUCAACUCUUUCAAUUCUGUAGGAGCCAUUCUAUAUGGAAAAAUAGAAAUACGUCGGGUGUCUAGCAACAGGUCAACGCUGAAAUUGAUCUCUCUAUCUGGUGGUAUCCCAGAGAGGUUAUCAGGAAAGACUUUCGAGAAUUCAUUAACUACAAGAAUAGACUGGAGAGGAGGACUUUUAGCACUAGAAUCUUUAACCCAAACAAGAUGGUAAAAACAACCCUUGGAUAUGAGCUUACGGGUACUAAUAUAAGAUAUAAAAAAUCCUCUAGGUACAAUAGAAUACCUUUCCCAUGCUAUUACUAACUUACUUGGACACGAGAAGAUGACCUUUCUGGUUUUAGAGUCUAAUGUAGAAUAAUAUGAAUUGAGCCAAUCCAUUCCCAAAAUAGCAUCAAAAUCAAUCAAGUCCAGUUCUACAAGAUCAGCCACAGUAUAAUGAUGAAAAAUAGACACCACAUAAUUUCUAUAAACUGUUUUAGCCACAAUAGAAUCUCUAACAGGGGUGGAAACGAAAAAGGAUUCAAAAAUAUCUUCAGGCUCAAAACCAAAUCCAACAACCACAUAAGGGGUCAUGUAAGACAAGGUAGACCCAUGAUCAAGUAACACAUACACAUCACCAGAGAAAAUCUGUAACAUACCCAUAACAACAUCUAGUGAAGCGACGAGUCCUGACGAGUAGAAAAAGCAUACAAUCGGUUGUGAUCACCUCUAAUAGCAGAAAUAUUACCCUUAGGUGGAGGGGCAAUAGAAUUAGUUAGGGACUUAACACCUCCUGUAUGGCCCCUGGAUGAGGAGUAAUCCCUCUUGAAAUGGCCUGGCUGACCACAAGUAUAACAAAAAUGCUCACCGUAGUUGCACCUCCCAGGAUAACUCUUUCGACAGUUGCCACAAUGGGGGUAUAAACUGAACGGCUAAGCUACACUCUCCUGGGACUGGGUACCCUGAGCUUUGGGCCUAUCCUUUAACUGAAACCAUUGUUCCCCCAUAGGCCUAGGUACAGGUGCACUAGCUAAGGACAGAGCAUUGCUCUAAAAUUUCUUAUUAGACUAUUUCUUACCCCAAUUGCCACCUUGAUGUUGGAUGACAUUCUGAUUUGCAGACCUAGCCUUCUUAGUCUAUCUUUGUUUUUCUCUACCACUGCUUUCCUAUUUUUCUCCUCUUUUACCUGCUGCAUAUGCACUGAUAACCUGGAGAUAUCCAUGCCCUUUUUCAGUAUUGCCACCUUACAUUCUAACACCAAGUCAUCUGAGAGUCUAGAUGUGAAUUUUCUCAUACGAGCAAUCAUGUUACUCACUAAUUACAAAUCAUAAUGGGAUAGCUGGGUGAAUUUUAAUGCAUAUUCUUUGACACUCAUUUUUCCUUGCUUCAGGUUAACAAAUUCUUCAACUUUUGAUUCCCUCAACUUCUGGUGGAAGAAACGGUCUAAGAAGGCCUCAACAAAGUCACCCCAUACAACAAGUUUCACAUUCUUACCCCUCUAUUAUUUUCACUCAUUGUACCACUAGUUAGCUACGUCUUUCAGCUGAUAGGCUCCCAACGCAACCCCCUCAACCUUACGAGUAUUCAUGACUCUUAAUAUUUUCUUUAUUUUAUCAAUAAACCAUUGGGGGUCCUCCUCAAUCGGUGCCCAUAAAUGUGGGUAGUUUCAGCCUCAUAAACUAGCCAACCCAAGUAAUUUCACAUGAAACAGGCACAGAACUCACAUCUAAAGAAUAAUAAGAUUGAAAAGCCACAAAUUGAGCAAUCAAAUAGAUAGAUUGACAGAACUCAGCAUUUGAGACCUCUCUCUGAGGAUAUUAGGUACGAUUGACACCGGAUCAAGGAGCCCAAGAUGGACUAGUUUAGAUUGGAGAGACUAUUAGAGUAGCAACAAAUUCUGGGGUACGGGCUCUGUAAUGAGUCCGCAUCUCAUGAGUAGGGUGGGCAUCAUCAAUAUAGGUGUUCUGCUCAUUGGGUAUAUGGGGAGACAUGAUUUGAAAUAUAGAAAAUCAUGUGUUAGGUAACAUUCAAACUAUAUAGCACAAACUAGAACAUGAAGAAAAGAGAAAUACUCCUAAAUGUCUAGUAGUUUUCUCCUUAUAAGCAUGGUGCGCUACACACCCAUAAAAGAAAUCUACUCAAGACAACUUUGUAGAUACUCUGGGACCCUGAACCAUGUUGUUAUGACCUAAGGCUACCCCCUUGUCAUGACAACGAUGUUUACGAUCAUAAGUGACCACAAGCUAACCCAUGAGCUAGUACUUGCUGUGAGCACUGAGUAUAAUGAUAAUGAUCAAUAUAUGCGGAUACAACUAAGUAAAGCCAUAAGGUUUAAAAAUACUAAAAUACUGAUAAAUCAUAAAUCUGAGCAUCUGAGAACAUACUAAAAAGAUUGAUAAAGCAACCAAUAAACUUACUAUCUAAAUAUCUGAAAAUCCUCUAACUGACUGACUGGGGAGUUAAUGGGACAAAACUCAACUAACUUCAAACUGACUCAAAUAGAGAAAUAUUGAAAUACUAAAUGAAGAUAAACUUGUCAAUAAGAAAUGAGGACUCACCACUGCUGUUGGUGUUAAAGUGUUAAACUUAUCUAAGCACGGUCAGGAAACUGUGCGUCUGAACCUAUAAUAUAAGAUAUCAUAGUGGAAAGAAAGUAUGCAGUUAGUACUUUGAUUGUACUGGUAUAUGAGAUAAGGUUUGGAUAAAAUACAUAGGUUUAUAUACAUGAAGUACUAACUAGAUGAAUAGUAUGAGAUAACUAAAUAUGUAUGAAAUAAUGAUUGGCUGAGUAAAAUUAGAUAAUAACUGAUACAUAACAUUCAUGGAAGCUAUAAAAUCUGAGAAUGCAUGACCAAGCAUAUAAUUUGAUACUGAAGUAGUUUGUAAACUAAAAUAUUGAAAUCUGGUGACUGAAUAACUGAUAAACUGUAUGGUAUGGUCAAGCAAACCUGAACUGAAUUAUGUACUGAAUACUGAAAUGCGACUGUGGGAGCUAGCUAUAACCGAUAUGCCCCAAAACUAUUAUUGGGGUCCAACUUGUAACCCUAGUUGGAAGGAUGUUAGUACCGUACCAUGGGUACUAACACUGGCUAUAUUGAUCUACUAAUCUAAUAACCUGAAGGAUUAGGGUGUCAUGCCUAACUGAAGAGGGACCCCUCAAAGUCUACAGUAGCGCCGUAGGUCUGGAACUUAGGGAUUGCUACCAACAUCGCAUGCCUAACUAACGAGGGAGUCAAAUACCUCAUGCCUAAUUGACGGGAGAGACAAAUGCCUCAUGCCUAACUAAUGGGGGAGAUGCCAUACCUAUGUUUACUCGGUGCUAAGAUUUACUCCCAACUGAAAGACAAUGAUUAAUGGAUUGAACUGAUCUUAACUGAACCAAUCAACUAAUUAUAACAACUCACAAAGUGAUAAUGAUUAUGGUUUAUCUAAAACUAUUUUGUAAGUACUGAAACAAUGUAAAUUGCUAAAUUUUGGGUAUUCAUAACCCCCAACACUAAAUGGGAAUAACAAUGCGGACACAUGAAAGCUUGGAACUAUAAUGGGAAAUCAUUAUUCAAAAUCUAUCACUUUGGCAAUUCAUCUGACACAAGGCAGUCAUGAACUUAAACAUGAGAAUAGGUAAAUCAUAUGAUAAUAAUAUAAUUAGAGUAUUUAACAAUGAGUUAUGGAUUAAAUAUGAAAAUAUCAUCAUUUAAAUGUGUAAAGGUUCCAUUCCAUCAAAACACUUGUAAAUCUAAUAAAAAAUCAAAAUUCAUAUGAGUUUUAUGGAGGUAAUUUAUCAUAAGCAGGUAAAAUUUCAUAAUAACUCAUAAUUAAAUAUAAAAAUAGGUUCUUGGACUCCAUGGGUGAAAAGGACCCAAGAAUGAACAUCACACAUACCUUUGAUGCCU
rnacentral:lncRNA from 1 species